GACAGAGGUCCGAGCGUUAGCGGAAUUCAUGUACGUGGCUAAGCGUGUGAGGCGAUCGGUUAAAGUGCCGUUGUCGAAAUCCCAUCGGCUUAACCACUUGGAACUGGCGUUGGCAUAGUGGCGAUCGUUGAGCCACUUAGGGGCGAACCGGAACAAAUGGUGGAGCGGUGAAAUGCGUAGAUAUCAUUUGGAACGCCAAUGGUGAAACAGGAUGCUGGGAGGUGUGACUGACGCU
rnacentral:rRNA from 1 species